rnacentral:lncRNA from 1 species
CCCGGCCCCGGCCCGGCCCGCGCGGCCGCGGCGCGUUCCUGAGCCGUGGCUGCCCCCCAGUGGCGGCGGCGCGGCGCUCCCCUCCCGCGGCCCCGUUCCGCACCUGCCCGCUCCCCGCUGCCGCUCUGCGCCUCGGCGCGGCACCGCGCUCGGGGGCGGCUUCUGCCCCGGCUUUCAUCCGCCUGCGUGGGACGCGGCCCCUCCGCGCGGCUGUGCGGCACCUACCGCCGGGGCCGUCGCAGCGUGUGGGGCCCCGUGCGGGUUGCUGCCCAUGAGGUCACAAACGCCUCUCGGGGACUUCGUUUGCAGAGGAGCCAUAGCCGAACCUAAAAUACUGCAGAUGAGAAUCUAAAGCAGUAACAACCCUGACACCUCCAUUCCCAGCUCCUCCUUUGGGAGUGGCCUUCUCCCUCCGUCUUGACUUAGGGCACGACACAACAUUUGCACUGGGACAGGUCCCUUCUCCUGCCUUCUCCUCAGCUGCAGCUGUGCCCUGGGACGUGCCCAGUCGGGACUCCCAGCACUGUGCCAGCAUCACUGUGGAGCCGGGAGAGCUGCUUUGGCCCAGCUGCUCCCCAGCCUUCUUCACCUGACUGUCACUGCUGCAGGGCACACACGGCAUGGAGUUACCAGUGGAGGAUCUUUGGAGAACAUCCUUGGAUUGUCCACAGGCCCUUGUCUGCUCUGGUGCUGCAUCACUCCCUUUGCAGCCAUCCUGAAAGAACACUCCAAACUGCAGAAACUAAUAAUAAGCAGCACAUGUUGAAUUGUUUUUAUGUCUAUCCCUGGCACAGCUACAGCCUGGACAUCACAGUACUUUUUCUUCCCACUGUUCUCCAAAAGGAGGAAGAUCAACAACCCCUCAUGUUUUACAGAAGGGGAAAAGCAGUUUCAGUGAAAGGCUGUUUUUUAAGAGGUAUACAGAAGCCCAAAGACCUAUAUAGGUCACACUAAGAUUUUCGAGGAUGCAUAAUCAGGUUAGAGACACAAAUUCCUAAAACUUCAGAGAGACGUAAGCAGUCGGCUCAUGCAGACAUUUUUGAAAAUCCCAAUACCAAAUCUAUGCAACAGUUUCCUGAUGAAUUCUUGCCAUGCCUUGUUUGUCGUUUGUACUGAAAACCAUAAAUUCUAGAAGGAAUAAAAUCACCUCGUUUGGCA